rnacentral:rRNA from 1 species
UGGGGAAUUUUGGACAAUGGGGGAAACCCUGAUCCAGCCAUCCCGCGUGUGCGAUGAAGGCCUUCGGGUUGUAAAGCACUUUUGGCAGGAAAGAAACGUCAUGGGUUAAUACCCCGUGAAACUGACGGUACCUGCAGAAUAAGCACCGGCUAACUACGUGCCAGCAGCCGCGGUAAUACGUAGGGUGCAAGCGUUAAUCGGAAUUACUGGGCGUAAAGCGUGCUCAGGCGGUUCGGAAAGAAAGAUGUGAAAUCCCAGAGCUCAACUUUGGAACUGCAUUUUUAACUACCAGGCUAGAGUGUGUCAGAGGGAGGUGGAAUUCCGCGUGUAGCAGUGAAAUGCGUAGAUAUGCGGAGGAACACCGAUGGCGAAGGCAGCCUCCUGGGAUAACACUGACGCUCAUGCACGAAAGCGUGGGGAGCAAACAGG